rnacentral:rRNA from 1 species
GAUGAAUGCUGGCGGUAUGCUUAACACAUGCAAGUCGAACGGAAUCUUCGGAUUUAGUGGCGGACGGGUGAGUAACACGUGAGAACCUAGCUCUAGGUCGGGGACAACCACUGGAAACGGUGGCUAAUACCGGAUGUGCCGAAAGGUGAAAGGCUUGCUGCCUAGAGAUGAGCUCGCGUCUGAUUAGCUAGUUGGUGUGGUAAGAGCGCACCAAGGCGACGAUCAGUAGCUGGUCUGAGAGGAUGAUCAGCCACACUGGGACUGAGACACGGCCCAGACUCCUACGGGAGGCAGCAGUGGGGAAUUUUCCGCAAUGGGCGAAAGCCUGACGGAGCAAUACCGCGUGAGGGAGGAAGGCUCUUGGGUUGUAAACCUCUUUUCUCAGGGAAUAAGAAAGUGAAGGUACCUGAGGAAUAAGCAUCGGCUAACUCCGUGCCAGCCGCCGCCGUAAAAC